UACGUAGGGGCGAGGCGUUGUCCGGAUUCAUUGGUGCGUAAAGAGCGUGUAGGCGGCCAGGUAGGUCUGCUGUGAAAACUCGAGGCUCAACCUCGAGACGUCGGCGGAAACCAUCUGGCUAGAGUCCGGAAGAGGAGAGUGGAAUUCCUGGUGUAGCGGUGAAAUGCGCAGAUAUCAGGAAGAACACCCGUGGCGAAGGCGGCUCUCUGGGACGGUACUGACGCUGAGACGCGAAAGCGUGGGGAGCGAACAGG
rnacentral:rRNA from 1 species